GCUCGAGUGGUGGAAUUGGUAGACACGUUGGAUUCAAAAUCCAAUGUCGCAAGACGUGCGGGUUCGAUUCCCGCCUCGAGUACAA
rnacentral:tRNA from 1 species